GUGCUCACUUCAGCAGCACUUAUACUAAAAUUGCAACGACACAGAGAAGAUUAGCAUCACCUUGCCCAAGGAUGACAUGCAAAUUCGUAAAGUGUCCCAUAGUUUU